GACGAACGCUGGCGGCGUGCUUAACACAUGCAAGUCGAACGGAAAGGCCCUGCUUGCCGGGUACUCGAGUGGCGAACGGGUGAGUAACACGUGGGUGAUCUGCCCUGCACUUCGGGAUAAGCCUGGGAAACUGGGUCUAAUACCGGAUAGGAGCCAUUUUUAGUGUGAUGGUUGGAAAGUUUUUUCGGUGUAGGAUGAGCUCGCGGCCUAUCAGCUUGUUGGUGGGGUAAUGGCCUACCAAGGCGGCGACGGGUAGCCGGCCUGAGAGGGUGGACGGCCACAUUGGGACUGAGAUACGGCCCAGACUCCUACGGGAGGCAGCAGCGGGGAAUAUUGCACAAUGGGCGCAAGCCGGAUGCAGCGACGCCGCGUGGGGGAUGACGGCCUUCGGGUUGUAAACUCCUUUCGCUAGGGACGAAGCUUUUUGUGACGGUACCUAGAUAAGAAGCACCGGCUAACUACGUG
rnacentral:rRNA from 1 species